UGUGGAGUUCAUGGCGUAUUUAAUCGCGAGCAGCAGGGAUGAGUGAGUUUCCUGUCAAACCCAGACGAGGCAGAUCAGCUGAAGGCUCUCUGGCGCGUCUGAAAAUUCUGUUCUAAAUCCAUAUAACGGGAUAUUACAGUAAUAAAGAGGAUAAGGUACCGUUUUUAUCGCGUUUUAAGGGAGCUGUGAAUCGAAGUGGAGUUAAAUUGUCGUCUUUGGCUAACUGGCUAAUGCUAGCUAGCUGGCUGUCAUUAGAAAAACAAAAAAUUUAAAGCGGAAGCGUGACGUACUGGAUUACGAAAGCGGAAGUGCACAUUUUUGGUCUGAAAGCAGGUUUCUUUGUAGAAACGGAGGGAUGGAUGGAGACGAAAGAGCAACUUCUGAAAGGAUUCUUCUGGAACCGUACAAGUACUUGUUACAGCUGCCAGGAAAACAAGUCCGAACGAAACUCUCGCAAGCGUUCAACCACUGGCUCAACGUCCCAGAGGACAAGCUUCAGGUAAGACUUUAUCUGUGUUUAUCAGGAAGGGUUUCAGGGUUUCUGCAUGGACUGUAAUGUUGAAAUAUAUUGUAGAAGGAGAGGAACACUUUUCCUCAAAUUUAAUUAUAAUGCGAGUAUGAAGCAGUUUGUGCUUAUGUUCUGUACAGUUUACAAUAGAAAGAAAAUAAUAAAAGGCAAGUGUGACUAUUUAUCUAACAAUUCUGACUUUUCUCCCGUAUUAUUCUG